rnacentral:rRNA from 1 species
GAUCCUGGCUCCAGGAUGAACGCUGGCGGCGUGCCUAAUACAUGCAAGUAGAACGCUGAAGGAGGAGCUUGCUCUUCUGGAUGAGUUGCGAACGGGUGAGUAACGCGUAGGUAACCUGCCUGGUAGCGGGGGAUAACUAUUGGAAACGAUAGCUAAUACCGCAUAACAGUAGAUAUCGCAUGAUAUCUGCUUGAAAGGUGCAAUUGCAUCACUACCAGAUGG